UUAAUACCGCAUACGAUCUGUGGAUGAAAGCGGGGGAUCGCAAGACCUCGCGCUAUUGGGGUGGCCGAUGGCGGAUUAGCUAGUUGGUGGGGUAAAGGCCUACCAAGGCGACGAUCCGUAGCUGGUCUGAGAGGACGACCAGCCACACUGGGACUGAGACACGGCCCAGACUCCUACGGGAGGCAGCAGUGGGGAAUUUUGGACAAUGGGCGCAAGCCUGAUCCAGCAAUGCCGCGUGUGUGAAGAAGGCCUUCGGGUUGUAAAGCACUUUUGUCCGGAAAGAAAUCCUUUUCGAUAAUACCGAGAGGGGAUGACGGUACCGGAAGAAUAAGCACCGGCUAACUACGUGCCAGCAGCCGCGGUAAUACGUAGGGUGCGAGCGUUAAUCGGAAUUACUGGGCGUAAAGCGUGCGCAGGCGGUGAUGCAAGACCGAUGUGAAAUCCCCGGGCUUAACCUGGGAACUGCAUUGGUGACUGCAUCGCUAGAGUAUGGCAGAGGGGGGUAGAAUUCCACGUGUAGCAGUGAAAUGCGUAGAGAUGUGGAGGAAUA
rnacentral:rRNA from 1 species